CCAGGAGCCCGGAGCCCGGAGCCCGGAGCUAAGGUCAACCGAAGCUAAGGUCAAUCGAGACACCUGUAUAAACUUAGCAAAGGGGCACCAGCUGAUUAACAUGAUUGAUUUGACAUUUAACAAGUACAAUCUGAUUGAAGGCGAUAAACAUAGAUUGUAAGGAAUUACUUUAUAACAGUUAAUGCGGCUAAGUAAUUAAUCUAAUUAUAUCAUGAUCAUUAAACCCAGUGAUGCAUGUAAUAAACGAAAAACGUUACACAGCCC
rnacentral:lncRNA from 1 species